rnacentral:rRNA from 1 species
GAUGAACGCUGGCGGCGUGCCUAAUACAUGCAAGUCGAGCGAACAGACGAGGAGCUUGCUCCUCUGACGUUAGCGGCGGACGGGUGAGUAACACGUGGAUAACCUACCUAUAAGACUGGGAUAACUUCGGGAAACCGGAGCUAAUACCGGAUAAUAUAUUGAACCGCAUGGUUCAAUAGUGAAAGACGGUUUUGCUGUCACUUAUAGAUGGAUCCGCGCCGCAUUAGUUAGUUGGUAAGGUAACGGGUUACCAAGGCAACGAUGCGUAGCCGACCUGGGAGGGGGAUCGGCCACCUGGGAGCUGGGCCACGCUCCAGAGUCCUACGGGAGGCAGCAGUAGGGAAUCUGCCGCAAUGGGCGAAAGCCUGACGGAGCAACGCCGCGUGAGUGAUGAAGGUCUUCGGAUCGUAAAACUCUGUUAUGGGGGAAGAACAAAUGUGUAAGUAACUAUGCACGUCUUGACGGUACCUAAUCAGAAAGCCACGGCUAACUACGUG